rnacentral:tRNA from 1 species
UUGAGCGUAGGUCGAAAUUCUCGAUAGCGGCUUUUGAUGCCGCCAUUCGCAGGUUCGAAUCCUGCCGCCCCAG